rnacentral:rRNA from 1 species
CAUUUGGUGGAUGACUUGGCUUGGCCGCCGAUGAAGGUCGUGGCAAGCUGAGAUAAGCCCCGGGUAGGUGCAAGCAACCAUUGAUCCGGGGAUUGCCG